GUAGGCUGUUAGGUGGGGAGGGUGGGGGCAGGGCUGCGAGGGCCUGAGGCCAGCGUGAGCUUCGCCCACACGUGGGCGCUGGGACUCGAGGAGCCCUGGGCAGGCAGCCCUGGGAAUGGGGCAGGCUGGGCACCACAGGUAGCGGAGGAAACGCCCACUCCAUAGCUGACCAGGCCCAGGCCUCCUGCCAGCUUGGGCCCCACCAGCCCUGGCCACCAAGGACCCCCUGUCGACACUGGUACCCUCCUGCUGGGGUCCUCCGGGACCAGCCGACAGCCCCGGGCACAGCCUUUCGCCUUUUGAGUGAUGCCGUGAUCCAAGACGAACCCUGGGCUUUAGGACAUGGCCGGAGAUGGAACCCGAAGGAACACAGAACAAAGGGUGUGCCCAGGGCCAAGGCUGGCACCAGCACCCUGACGGGCCAGCCCAGCAGGUUUGCAUCCUGGUUAGGACAACGGUGCACACAGCCAGGACUGGGCGGCGGCCACAGACAGCGAGAUCCAGACAAGGCCACCGCCUGGAAGGCACGGCGGGCGCCAGAGCAGUCAGAGCCCUGGCCAGGGCUAACACAGAGCUCAGAGGAGAGGUGACACUAAAACUGACACUAAAACAGGUCCUGUUUUAGUGACAGCAGCACAGAGACAGCCCUGGAGUGAAGAGGAGCUGGUGGGGAGAGUGACCCGGGUGCCUGAGACAAACCCUCCUUGGCUGGUCAGAAACCACAGAUAAUUCUGAAGGUACACACCUGACACCUGCUAAUACCUGCCACUUCCUCCUUCCAACCCUGAGCUCUCCAGCCCGGCCCACGGCGGAGGACACAGGCCUGGGAGGGUGACCCGAGGGCUCCUUUCAAAGGCCAGAGAAGGAUGGAGCUGGAGGCACUUGGGACGCCCCUGCCUGAGCUGCAUGCCCAGACGUAGGCCUUCGCAGGCUGUCCCCGAGCACCAGGGCCAGGGGGUGGCCCAGGACACCUUCAGGAGGAAGCCCUGGAGCUCGUGCAGGUCGAUCUCGGCCAGCGCGGGGCCCGUCAUCACGAACAUGCGCAGCAUGCUGUAGAUGCGCUCGAGCGACAGGCUCUCCAGGUUGGUCAGCAUGGCCUGGAUGUACGUCCAGAAGAGCUGGGGACAGCGGCCAGGCCCACCAUCAGCCGGGCCACUGCCGGGACCGCCGCUGCGCCCUAGCUGGCCGCCCCCCGCCCCCCACGCGGCCGGCACC